CUCGCACGCUGUGUGUAAAUGCAGGCUGCGGGUCGCUACACUCGCCCCGUCCUGCCGCAGCUGAGAUCCCCCCUUUGAGGAGAAGGAGAGCAAGUGAAAGUGUUAAAAGGAGUAGCAGCUAAGCAAAGGAAAAGGUCAAGGGAAAAUAAUAUUGAACAAAAUAAAUUGGAAUAUUGAGUGACAAUGGAAUUCAUGCUGAAUCAUAGUAUGUGCUGAUGCUGUGCUGAAACCAGUGGCAUCCAUGUGGACCAGUGCUGUCACCACAGGAGAGGAUGAUUUCAGGAAAAGCCACUGGGACUCACAUGUUGCCGUGCGGAAAUGGCAGGAGGAAAUGAGUUAA
rnacentral:lncRNA from 1 species